CUCAGAAAUGCCAUUCAGUGGCUUGAGUGAAUGGAUACUCCACUCUGCCCAUCGGCUCUACGCUGUGGCUCUCCUCUCCUCUGUCAUUGCUGGAGCUGGAUGCAGGGAAAAUUUUCAGGAUAAAGAUGAAGACACAUUGGCCACUGCCAGUCCCCCACAGUUCUAUCAUAUGGUUCCCUGACCUGGAACAGCAGAAGAGGGACUCCUGGGGCUUUUUCCCAGUUUGAGUCCCCUGCCGUUCAGGACCAGGACCAGAUUGCAUCCUGCAUUAAUUCCUCACUUCUACACUCGG
rnacentral:lncRNA from 1 species